rnacentral:rRNA from 1 species
CCUACGGGUGGCAGCAGUGAGGAAUAUUGGUCAAUGGACGAGAGUCUGAACCAGCCAAGUAGCGUGAAGGAUGACUGCCCUAUGGGUUGUAAACUUCUUUUAUAUGGGAAUAAAAUGUUCCACGUGUGGGAUUUUGUAUGUACCAUAUGAAUAAGGAUCGGCUAACUCCGUGCCAGCAGCCGCGGUAAUACGGAGGAUGCGAGCGUUAUCCGGAUUUAUUGGGUUUAAAGGGAGCGUAGGUGGAUUGUUAAGUCAGUUGUGAAAGUUUGCGGCUCAACCGUAAAAUUGCAGUUGAAACUGGCAGUCUUGAGUACAGUAGCGGUGGGCGGAAUUCGUGGUGUAGCGGUGAAAUGCUUAGAUAUCACGAAGAACACCGAUUGCGAAGGCAGUUCACUGAACUGCAACUGACACUGAGGCUCGAAAGUGUGGGUAUCAAACAGGAUUAGAUACCCCAGUAGUC